UCACAUCAAGAAAGUAAUUUC
rnacentral:piRNA from 1 species